CCCAGCGCUGCUACUCCGGGCUUCGCGGCUCAAAAACAACAGCUCCGCGCUCCGCCCCAGCCCCGGCGGGCGGCUGAAACUCGGACCCACCGCCCUCAGUCCGCGCGGAGCCGGGCACCGGGGAGGCAGCGCGGGGGCCGCCGUCCGAACAUCGGGCGCCCAGCACCUCGCCGCCGUAGGGGCGGGCCCGCGCACUCCUGCCUCCGCGGGCCCCAGUGAGACCAGUAGUUCCUCGAUGGAGACCUGCGUUCGGCACCGAGCCCUUGCCAUCGAAGAGGUGAACCGCUGAGGGCGGAAGGCUACCGCCGAGACCCUGGGGUCCUAGCAGAGGCCCUCGGGACGGCGAGGGGUGCGUGACCUGCAUGACCGAUGCUACCCCAGAGGAAAGGCUCCACAGAGCGGGGCUUGGCAGGAGCCCGGGGCGGUGGUGCGUGGGCCUUCCUGCCUCCGCAGCUCACAGCUGCUGCCCUGAGUUCCAAUGCCGACCAGCUCCCGUGGUCUCAGGGGUGCCCAGCCUUGCACCCGGCUUGCAGCCCCAGACGGAGAAGGCGCUCUCUGCGCUGCUCUGUUUCCCACUGAACUGAACGCAGCCUCCGGCCCUAGCUGGAGCUGUUUACCAUCUUCCAACUUUCACUAAAAAGGAAAAACCAUCGCUUAAACAAAGCCAUUGAGAACUCAGCAUCAUAUGUGGAUUUCUUAACAUAAAUAAAUCAUACCAACCAAGAUUUAUGUUCUCCGAAUGAUGUCAUUCAUUGAAGGCUGCCUUCCCAGUCAAAUCAGCCUUUGGUGAUUUCCUUGUGUGCGUGUGCUCUCUGCAAAACAAGGGGGGCGGCUCUGGCCUCCCCCCUGCUCCCGUUUCUCUGCUCGGCCCAGGACACCAGCAAGGCCUCUGCCCCAGUCCGCCCAGCAGAACCAGGUCGAAAUGGUGACAGCAGUUUCUACCCCACAGACUGCUUUAAAGCUUUGCUCUUGAACCGUAAGUUCUGAGGUUGAAAGACUGUUAAAGCUUCCUGAAGAAUUUGCGCAGACCCCAGCGGAAGCUGAAGGUCCUUUGGGUCUUCCAGAGCCUCCAAGGACAGCUAGCUGCAGAGGAAUCACUUUGAAGUGAAUGAGGAACAGAAAAAAUCACCAUUAACGGGUAAAUGAGAGGUGGUUUACCCAUACUGUGGAGGAGUAUUUGGUCAUAAAAAGGAACAAAGUACGGACACACGCUACCACAUGAAUGAACGCACAUUAUUCUCGGUGACAGAAGCUGGUCACGAAAGACCAUGUUUUGCGUGAGUCCAUUUAUAUGAAAUGUCCAGGAUGGGCAAAUCCCUAGAAACAGAAGUUAGAUAAGUGUUUGCCAGAGGCUGGGGAGGGGCUGACUGCUAAUAGACAUGGGUCUCCUUCUGCUGUGUGAUGAUGUUCUGGAAACAGCUGGCUGUGAGUGCUGCACAUCACGAAUGUCUAAAUGCUACUGAAAUGUUCACUUUAGAGUGGUAAGUGUUACGAUACGUGAAUUGUAUCUUGAUACAUCUGCCAUUAAAAAACCACCCCU